rnacentral:lncRNA from 1 species
AGGGGCGCCCCGGAAGAGUGACAUACCGCCCCGAAAGGCGAAAUAUAACCACCCUACGUCCGCCGGGUUUUUCUUUAACAGAAAACACCGGCGAAAAAGGCCUACCGAAAUCGGGAUCCCGUGCCCGAGGCACAGGGAUAAAAACCCGAUUAUGGUCCUCCAUGAGUUCGGAGCCAACUGCGCCGGGACGAGCUGGUACUCGGCCAGCAAGUUGCUCACGAACUCAUGAGCGGG